GAUGAACGCUGGCGGCGUGCCUAAUACAUGCAAGUCGAGCGAACAGACGAGGAGCUUGCUCCUCUGACGUUAGCGGCGGACGGGUGAGUAACACGUGGAUAACCUACCUAUAAGACUGGGAUAACUUCGGGAAACCGGAGCUAAUACCGGAGAAUAUAUUGAACCGCAUGGUUCAAUAGUGAAAGACGGUUUUGCUGUCACUUAUAGAUGGAUCCGCGCCGCAUUAGCUAGUUGGUAAGCUAACGGCUUACCAAGGCAACGAUGCGUAGCCGACCUGAGAGGGUGAUCGGCCACCUUGGAAGUUGGACACGGUCCAGGCUCCUACGGGAGGCAGCAGUAGGGAAUGUUCCGCAAUGGGCGAAAGCCUGACGGAGCAACGCCGCGUGAGUGAUGAAGGUCUUCGGAUCGUAAAACUCUGUUAUUAGUGAAGAACAAAUGUGUAAGUAACUAUGCACGUCUUGACGGUACCUAAUCAGAAAGCCACGGCUAACUACGUG
rnacentral:rRNA from 1 species